CCUACGGGUUGCAGCAGUGGGGAAUAUUGGACAAUGGGCGAAAGCCUGAUCCAGCAAUGCCGCGUGUGUGAAGAAGGUCUACGGAUUGUAAAGCACUUUCGACGGGGUCGAUGAUGACGGUACCCGUAGGAGAAGCCCCGGCUAACUUCGUGCCAGCAGCCGCGGUAAUACGAAGGGGGCUAGCGUUGCUCGGAAUGACUGGGCGUAAAGGGCGCGUAGGCGGUUUAUGCAGUCAGAUGUGAAAUCCCCGGGCUUAACCUGGGAACUGCAUUUGAGACGCAUAGACUAGAGGUCGAGAGAGGGUUGUGGAAUUCCAGUGUAGAGGUGAAAUUCGUAGAUAUUGGGAAGAACACCGGUGGCGAAGGCGGCAACCUGGCUCGAUACUGACGCUGAGGCGCGAAAGCGUGGGGAGCAAACAGGAUUAGAUACCCCCGUAGU
rnacentral:rRNA from 1 species